AGAUGGCGACUCCCAUGCAUCUGCUCAUAGCCCGGAGACGAGGGUAAUGAAGCAAAUAAGCAACAUGUAAGAUGUCAGAAAUGCUUGGAAUUUGGCUAUUGGACUUGUGAAUGCACAUUAAAAAGUAAAUACCUACAUAGGCCCUCAAGGACAGUAGAACUAAAGAAAACUUUAAAAGAAAAAGAAAACAGAUUAUUAUUACAACGAAGCUUUCUUCCCCACUCGUGUUUAUUGGCAUUGGAGCAACCAAUGUAGAAAGACCAAGAAAAAAUGGUCUAAAAGCGUAAUUAGUUCCAGUAGCAGUAGCAGUGACAGUUCAGCCAGUGAUUCUUCAUCAGAGAGAGAAGAAACAUCUACCUCAUCCUCCUCAGAGGACAGUGACAUUGAUGAAAGCUCUUCUAAUUCCUCAUCCUCAGCCUCCUCCACAACCUCUUCCUCCUCCUCUGAUUCAGACUCAGAUUCCAGCUCUUCCAGUAGCAGCAGCACCAGCACAGAUAGCAGCUCCAAGGAUGAACCACCAAAGAGGAAGAAAAAG
rnacentral:lncRNA from 1 species